rnacentral:lncRNA from 1 species
CAAAAUAAAUGAAAGAGAAAUCAGUAAGAUCGAAAUCUAACAUAGUGCUCAUUAUUCUUCAAGCCGAUGUGAAGCAUAUGUCAUCUAUAUAUUAAGCAGUUGAAUCCAGCUUAUAGAUUUGGCAUUGCACUCAGAAAGCAUUUAGUCAUAUCUGACUAAACUUGCACUUGAAAAAAGCUUCAUCAAAAAGCAUUAGAGCAAUUUAUGGAUAAUAAAUAAGGCCUCCCAAUAAUUGAAGCUUUAACUACCAAAUUUUGUACACUUGACAAGAUGUAAAUUUUAUAGACAAUACCUUUCCCUCAUAAUAUCCCUGGAGUAAAUAAUUCACGACACCAAAGUCAGCUGCAAAGAUGUAUACGAAUCUUUUUACACCUGCAAGAGAUACAGGUCACAACUAUAUCUAGCCAUACCAUUGUAUACAGAUACAAUUCCCUAAAGGAAUAUCAUGAAUGAACAUGUCAAUGCAAAUAGUCCACAGAAAAUGAAAUGGUUUGAACGACAAUAGUUCACAGCAAACGGUUUAAAAUCAAUUUUCAGCAAUGACUGUGCUAGCCAACAGUCCACACAGCACACCUAGGAAAUCGCAAUUUGUGGUAACAAAUUAAAGUUCUCCAGGGCCAUAAAAUGGUUGAUUAGCUGGCACCAUGCAAGAAACUGCCUUUAGCAAACAGUUUUGAUUGACAUGUAAAUUUUCCAGGCUACACUGAAAACACUAGCCAAGUCAAAAGAAGUGCAAGGGGAAACCUAGCAUUCAUGAGAUUUAGCAUUGAAAACAAGACAAAGAAAAGCCAACACCACUAAAAGUUGCUGGACAGAAACC